UGACAUCUGUAUACAGAACAUUCAGUCUGAAUGUUAUGUAUUGUGUGAUUGCGUUUUUUAUGCUAAUCUCUGUGUGACUGAUGAGAUGAUUGAACGCUGUCAUACCCCGAAAUUCACCAUACCCCAAUACAAUUUUCAUCUGAUCCAUGACCCUACUGCACAUGCAUACAUUCAUUAUUUAAAAAAAAAUUUAAAAAAAAUCAAAAAAAAAAAAGAAACUGGGUAACCAGUUACCCUAAUCAGGGUAACCGGUUACACAGACCAAAAACUGACUUUUUGGCCAUUUUGGGAUUGUGUAACCGAUUACCCUAAUUAGGGUAACCGAUUACACCUACGUAGACAGCAAAAAUGGCUCUCUUUUUUACCCAGGGGACCUUUUCU
rnacentral:lncRNA from 1 species